rnacentral:rRNA from 1 species
UAAGACGAACCGUGCGAACGUUGUUCGGAAUCACUGGGCUUAAAGGGCGCGUAGGCGGGUCAUCAAGUCCGGGGUGAAAUCCUUCGGCCUAACCGGAGAAGGGCUUCGGAUACUGGUGACCUCGAGGGGUGUAGGGGCAUGUGGAACUUCCGGUGGAGCGGUGAAAUGCGUAGAUAUCGGAAGGAACGCCGGUGGCGAAAGCGACGUGCUGGACACCUUCUGACGCUGAGGCGCGAAAGCCAGGGGAGCAAACGGGAUUAGAUACCCCGGUAGUCCUGGCCCUAAACGAUGGGUACUAGAUUGUGGACUGACAUGGGUUCACAGUCGGAGCAAAAGUGUUAAGUACCCCGCCUGGGGAGUAUGGUCGCAAGGCUG